CCAGAAUGUCUUGUUUUGCAUGUUUUUAUCCUCAGAUCUUUAAAACUAGCCACAUCUAAGGCUCAGUAUUUGGUCACACACAUUAAUUCUUUCUGUUUGGUGUUUUGUUACAUGAGAAAUAAUUUGAUACACACCCAUGGUAUUUUACAGAUAAUUGUGUUAUAACCAACUUAUUCUAUUGCUUAUAAUUUUGCAUUGGAUAAGUGUUUUGCCUUUGUCCUUAAGUGAGUUCAUGUGUGAAUGGUCGAUCUAUACUGACUAUAUCUAAGGCAAGACCCUGUGUCUAGACAAACAAACAACAGCCAAGUAGCUACAGACACUGUGUUUAAUAACCAUAAGAAUCAAAAUACAAUCUACUGUGUAAAGAACAUGGAAAGUUAUAAAAAUAGGCACAUAGACCAAUGGAAGAGAAUAGAGAACCCAGAAAUAAAGCCAAAUACUUGCAGCCAACUGAUCUUCGACAAAGCAAAAGAAAAAAAAAAAAAAAAAAAAAGAAAAAAAAAAAAAAAAAAAAAAAGUAAAGUGGGGAAAGGACACCCGAUUCAAAUGUUCAAAUGGUGUGGAUUAAUUGGCAAGCCAUAUGUAGAAGAAAGAAACUGGAUCCUUAUCUCUCACUUUAUACAAAAAUCAACUCAAGGUGGAUCAAAGACUUAAAUCUAAGACCUGAAACCAUAAAGAUUCUAAAAGAUAACAUCGAAAAAACUCUUCUAGACAAUUGGCUUAGCCAAAGAGUUCAUGACCAAGAACCCAAAAGCAAACACAACAAAAACAAAGAUAAAUGGAUGGGACUUAAUUAAACUAAAAAGCUACUGCAGGGCAAAAGAAAUAAUCAGCAAAGUAAACAGACAACCCACAGAGUGGGAGAGAAUUUUCACAAACUAUGCAUUAGACAAAGGAUUAAUAUUCAGAAUCUACAAGGAACUCAAACCAAUUAACAAGAAAAAAACAAUCCCAUAAAGAAGUGGGCUAAGGACAUGAAUAGACAAUUCUCAAAAGAAGUUCCACAGCAACGUUUCUCCUCAAAACAAGGUGAAUUUCACCAUUAUAAGAGGAUGUGAUUGUGCUUAAGAUAGUUUGCUUUCACACUAAAAAUUAACUUGGAGAUAAAAAAAGAUCAUGUUCUUUGACUUUGAUGGCAGAGACUGUAUUUUGAUUUUUGUCUUCAUUUUCAUGACUAUAAUUUAAGGGAGGUAAAUGUUUUACACAAGUAGAAAUUAAAAACCUCUUUCACUUAAUACAAAUUCAUCAUAUUUACUAAUUAAAAAUCAAAGACAAGGCUUUCUGUUUCUCUUUAAAAGAAUAAAGGUAGAUACGAGUAUACAAUUUUUAAUAAAAACCUCA
rnacentral:lncRNA from 1 species